AUUGAACGCUGGCGGCAGGCCUAACACAUGCAAGUCGAGCGAGCGGCGGACGGGGGCGUAAUGUCUGGGAAACUGCCUGAUGGAGGGGGAUAACUACUGGAAACGGUCGCUAAUACCGCAUACCAUCAGAUGUGCCCAGAUGGGAUUAGCUAGUAGGUGGGGUAACGGCUCACCUAGGCGACGAGCCCUAGCUGGUCUGAGAGGAUGACCAGCACCACGGAAACUGAGCCACGGUCCAGACUCCUACGGGAGGCAGCAGUGGGGAAUAUUGCACAAUGGGCGCAAGCCUGAGGCAGCCAUGCCGCGUGUUUGAAGAAGGCCUUCGGGUUGUAAAGCACUUUCAGCGGGGAGGCGUUACCCGCAGAAGAAGCACCGGCUAACUCCGUGCCAGCAGCCGCGGUAAUUC
rnacentral:rRNA from 1 species